rnacentral:rRNA from 1 species
AUGGCUCAAGCUUGCCUGCCACCUGGCUUUCGUUUCCAUCCAACUGAUGUUGAGCUUGUUUCUUACUACUUGAAAAGGAAGAUUAUGGGGAAGAAACUUUUUGUUGAAGCUAUUUCAGAGGUUGAGCUGUACAAAUUUGCUCCUUGGGACCUUCCUGAUAAAUCCUGUCUCCAGAGCAAAGAUCUUGAGUGGUUCUUCUUUUGUCCCCGUGACAAAAAAUAUCCUAAAGGGUCUAGGACGAACCGUGCCACACCAAAUGGUUAUUGGAAAACAAGUGGAAAAGACAGAACAAUUGAGCUGAACUCUCGCAUUGUUGGGUUGAAGAAAACAUUGAUUUUUCAUGAAGGCAAGGCACCCAAAGGCAAUAGGACUGACUGGGUGAUGUAUGAAUACAAAAUGGAAGAUGAAACUUUGGUGUCUGCUGGUUUCUCUAAGGAUGCUUAUGUACUCUGCAAGAUAUUUAAAAAGAGUGGGCUUGGCCCAAGGAUCGGCGAGCAAUAUGGGGCUCCUUUUGAUGAAAAUGAAUGGGAGAAUUUAGAUGUUGGAUCUUCUAUCUUCUCUUUUGCACCGUCGUCAGGUGUAGAGGAUCCACAGGUCAAUGACGCGCCUCCUGAAAUUGAUGGAAUAUUGUUGGACGAACUGGCAAAGUUUUUGGAUGAUUCUCCGAACGAUGAUGUAGUUUUGCCAGAGAAUUCUGGUCUCCCUCCAAUGUCUGAGCUUGAGGCUCAAGCUUUUGAGAUAAAUACUGCUGAGCUCUAUGACCAAUUGGCAGGACUUUCCCAGUCAGGAGAUAUGUCUACUGUAAAUUUCCCUGCUAGCAACGGGGAUGUUAUUGAAAACAAUUUGCAGCAAGCAAACUCUGGACUUGCUAUGGAUGAUGAUUAUAUAGGGCUGGAUGAUCUGCUUGCUCCUGGGGAAACCUUCUCCUAUGAUUUUUCUGGUGAAACCUUUUCCUAUGAUCUGCCUGGUGGAAGCUUCUCCUAUGAUUUGUCUGUGCCAAACAAUCAGUUUUUGCUGUACCCACUUGAUCAAUCAACUAGUGGCAGUCACUACGGUGUUGGUGCUACUCAAUCAACUUUCGAAGCAAGUGGAACUCUUCCACCAAUGCAACCAAUGCCAAGCACUUUUAAUGACAUGCCUUCUGUUUCCAAUUGCUUGAACCCAGCCAUGAAAGACCCAUUCUCUUAG